GACGAACGCUGGCGGCGUGCUUAACACAUGCAAGUCGAACGGAAAGGCCCUGCUUUUGUGGGGUGCUCGAGUGGCGAACGGGUGAGUAACACGUGAGUAACCUGCCCUUGACUUUGGGAUAACUUCAGGAAACUGGGGCUAAUACCGGAUAGGAGCUCCUGCUGCAUGGUGGGGGUUGGAAAGUUUCGGCGGUUGGGGAUGGACUCGCGGCUUAUCAGCUUGUUGGUGGGGUAGUGGCUUACCAAGGCUUUGACGGGUAGCCGGCCUGAGAGGGUGACCGGCCACAUUGGGCCUGAGAUACGGCCCAGACUCCUACGGGAGGCAGCAGUGGGGAAUAUUGCACAAGGGGCGGAAGCCUGAUGCAGCAACGCCGCGUGCGGGAUGACGGCCUUCGGGUUGUAAACCGCUUUCGCCUGUGACGAAGCGUGAGUGACGGUAAUGGGUAAAGAAGCACCGGCUAACUACGUG
rnacentral:rRNA from 1 species